CAGGCCUAACACAUGCAAGUCGAACGGAAAGGCCCUGCUUUUGUGGGGUGCUCGAGUGGCGAACGGGUGAGUAACACGUGAGUAACCUGCCCUUGACUUUGGGAUAACUUCAGGAAACUGGGGCUAAUACCGGAUAGGAGCUCCUGCUGCAUGGUGGGGGUUGGAAAGUUUCGGCGGUUGGGGAUGGACUCGCGGCUUAUCAGCUUGUUGGUGGGGUAGUGGCUUACCAAGGCUUUGACGGGUAGCCGGCCUGAGAGGGUGACCGGCCGCAUUGGGACUGAGAUACGGCCCAGACUCCUACGGGAGGCAGCAGUGGGGAAUAUUGCACAAUGGGCGGAAGCCUGAUGCAGCAACGCCGCGUGCGGGAUGACGGCCUUCGGGUUGUAAACCGCUUUCGCCUGUGACGAAGCGUGAGUGACGGUAAUGGGUAAAGAAGCACCGGCUAACUACGUGCCAGCAGCCGCGGUGAUACGUAGGGUGCGAGCGUUGUCCGGAUUUAUUGGGCGUAAAGGGCUCGUAGGUGGUUGAUCGCGUCGGAAGUGUAAUCUUGGGGCUUAACCCUGAGCGUGCUUUCGAUACGGGUUGACUUGAGGAAGGUAGGGGAGAAUGGAAUUCCUGGUGGAGCGGUGGAAUGCGCAGAUAUCAGGAGGAACACCAGUGGCGAAGGCGGUUCUCUGGGGCCUUCCUGACGCUGAGGAGCGAAAAGCGUGGGGAGCGAACAGGCUUAGAUACCCUGGUAGUCCACGCUGU
rnacentral:rRNA from 1 species